UACGUAGGUGGCAAGCGUUGUCCGGAUUUACUGGGCGUAAAGAGCGCGCAGGCGGUCGUUCAAGUCGCGUGUGAAAGCCCCCGGCUCAACUGGGGAGGGUCACGCGAUACUGAUCGACUCGAAGGCAGGAGAGGGUAGUGGAAUUCCCGGUGUAGUGGUGAAAUGCGUAGAUAUCGGGAGGAACACCCGUAGCGAAGGCGGCCGGACCUGGACCACACCUGACGCUGAGGCGCGAAGGCCAGGG
rnacentral:rRNA from 1 species